CCUACGGGUGGCAGCAGUGGGGGAUAUUGCACAAUGGGCGGAACCCUGAUGCAGCGACGCCGCGUGGGUGAAGAAGCGCCUCGGCGUGUAAAGCUCUGUUAGCAGGGACGAAAAUGACGGUACUUGCAGACGAAGCCCCGGCUAACUACGUGCCAGCAGCCGCGGUCAUACGUCGGGGGCAAGCGUCAUCCGGAUUUUCUGGGUGUAAAGGGGGCGCAGACGGCGAUGCAAGCCAGGAGUGAAAGCCCGGGGCCCAACCCCGGGACUGCUCUUGGAACUGCGUGGCUGGAGUGCAGGAGGGGCAGGCGGAAUUCCUGGUGUAGCGGUGAAAUGCGUAGAUAUCAGGAGGAACACCGGUGGCGAAGGCGGCCUGCUGGACUGCAACUGACGUUGAGGCCCGAAAGCGUGGUGAGCAAACAGGAUUAGAUACCCUAGUAGUC
rnacentral:rRNA from 1 species